rnacentral:lncRNA from 1 species
AUUACUACAGCAAACAAAAAUAACAGUGAGAGUGGGCAGUGAGGUUGAAGACCUGCACGGCGAACGUGUCUGGUGUGAGCACACGAGCCGAAACUAGAAGACGAAGGCGGGGUAAAUCAGUGGAGCGGUUCGAGCUAGAAGAUGUUGUGUUGGCGAUGCUUCACAGACGAGGAGACUUGGAGCAGGGCACACGGUUCUAGUGUGUGCACGGCUGGAGGCGAGGUCGAAGUCGAGGACGCACGCCCGACGAGGAACAGGGAGGGGCGAUGGCGAGCUGGGGCGCAGGGGUGAGCUCACAUCUGGGGAGGUGAGGAGGGCGGCUGGAGAUUGAGGAAGAUAGAGGCUGGGCGGCUAGUGCUCCAUGGGAAGGAAAACAGAGACCGAGGAGAUGACGCCCAGGGCACUGGAUAAGGCUAUCAACCUGUUCAGCGGCGUGGAGAGGAGAAGAAUGAAUUUUCUUCAUUUUUUUGUUAAUAAAAUAUAAUUAUAUCUCUGGUUUCUAGAAUUAGGAUUUUUGCGAUGUGUGAACAGGCCGGACCAAAAUUAUAUGGGUGAUUGUAUUUAGACAACGCUUGCUGAAGUUUGAAAUUGGACAAAAAUGUAUCUGCGGGAACAUAUUUAAUUUUUUUGCCUUAAUGAACAGGGAAACGGAUUAAUUACGAAUACACGGUCUCAGCUCCAAUUAUCUCGGUCUAGUUUAGUUUUGCAUCAGUACUUUUGUCAUCGAGGUCUAAUAUUAUUUGUUGGGGACAAAUUCAUACGACGGAGUUGACCCUCCAAAGUUGCAGCCAAUGACACUAAUUAAUUCUAAAUAGACAAGAGACUCGAGACUUGGUUUAACCAGACAUAGUAAAAUUUCGUGAUGCAUUUGAUUUCCCCGCCACAGAUAACUUGCUGAAGAAAUAGUUUCUAAUUUAUUAACCAUGUGCACGAUUUCUGGGUUGACGAGCACUGUCCAAAUUAAAAAAAAUGUGGAUACGCCGUAAAUCCACAUUCACCUACUCGUGCGCCGACUGGCUCAGGAGGUAAUUAAAAUUUCAAACUUGUGAAACAUUUGAGAUAGUCCAAGUAAAUAAAGGUGAAAAUGACGCCAAACUCAGGAUAGGCUAAGAAAAUUAAGACAUAGGGACCUUUAUUCUUACCGACAUUCCAAGCUUAAGUUCAUCGUCUCUGUCGAACAGAAGGUAAACAUCAGGGGUGUUACAACCCUCCCCCCUUAAAAGAAUCUCGUCCCGAGAUUCAGAACGAAAUACUUUUAAGAGUAGAUAGGCGUGUAACCCCGUCCAUAUCAGUGAUAGCAUAAGGCUGUUCCAAGCAGAGGCGGGGGUCUCAGGAUGUUGUUUCUCUAGUGGGUAUAGCAUGUAUCACUUUUAAGCUGAUUAGAGAUUUCAAUAAGAGAGACGAUAUCUAACAGAAGAAGUCAUAGGGUUCCAUAUGUGCAGUCACUACCAGGGUCAAGAGAAAAGAGAUCACAAAUCAAAAAGGUGAUUAAUUGAUUUUUUUUAUCACACAAUUAGACACAGAUGAGUUUUGAUUUUUAUGGAGAUUUCUAAAUUGGUAGUGAAUUCGUUAAAGAGCACAUUAAAGCGGUAUGCUCCCUGAUCCAAUAGAGAUGACAGAUGUUGCUUGAGUAUUUCACACACAACAUAGAAAUUGUUUCAAGGGAGAGGUCUACGAAAGAUAACAUAUCAAUGUAGUUCCAUAAUGGAUCAUGACUAGAGACCUUGAUACCAGCAUCCGACAAGUAGCACAGUCCCGUGUGCGCAUUCACAGGGAGCUCUCAGAUUCGCUGCGGCACCAUAAGUCCUUAACCAUGACACCAUCACCGAACUGGCACCAAUAAAGAAUCUCACGUGGCAAAACUAGACAUUGUGCCAAGAUAACACAUUGAUAUAGUUUCAUAAUGGAUUACAACUACUAACCGCGAUACCAGCGCGUGCCGAGCAACACAACCGUGUGUGCGCGCGCACAGAAGGCCCCCGGUUUCGUCGCGGCACCGUCAGUUUUAGUCAUAACACCAUUACCAAACAUAACCAAUAAGAAAUCUCACGCGACACAAAUAGACUGAGCCAAGAUGACAAUAUACAAAAGAGACUCCACCUGUAAGAAUGAUUACAAGUAGAGAGUCAAAUAGAUCAUGACCCGAUGAAGUGAACACGAUACAGCCAAAACCGAAAAUUGGUUGAUAAGGGAGUACGAUGGGAGACUGUUACUUUAGCCCCAAGCAUAUUUCUAUGUCCAUUGCAGAGAUUAUUCAUGUCAAUAAUUAGCGUCCAAUAAGAUAUGGAAGGGAAACAAUCAUAAGAUUAAAUUGAUAAGCCUUCGAGAGAUAUGAAAAAAAUCAAAGGCAUUAAAUUCAAGAAAAUGAUUGGGCACUGCUUUCCUAGGUUGGACUGAGAAAGCAACAAGAUGAUCCUGAUGGAGACGCAAACUGACAUAGAGAUAUCAGCUUGCACCAACCGAACAAAGGUAUGUUUUAGGAUGAAAAUAUAACCAUAAGAGCUACAAGUUGGCUGUUAAGAUCAGGGACUCGAGAUUAUUAUUAUUUUUUAAAGUUUGAGUGCAUCUUAGGUCCAAUAAGGGGAUUACCUAAACAUCUAUUUAUAUGACCUUGAUCACAAAGUAACGAUGGAAAAAUUUAGACUCAUCCAAUGGAAAAAUUUUAGGAAAUUAACAUCGAUUUGGGUCAUGGCUCCUAGAUGAGGACAUGGCCAAAUUUUUAGUUUACACAAACAUACCACCAACAUUCUACCGGCACAAACACACCAGAACAAACACAAGUUGGACUAGUGGUCAAACUAAGAAGAACCAUAGGCCACAUAAAUACAUGUCUAAAGGACCCAACAAAUAAGACUAGAAAUUUGCUUAUAGGAUAGUAAUGCUUCACACAUUUUCCAAUUAUUUAUUAUCGGAAUAAAGAUGAGGGAAGCACGUUCGUUCACAAUCACCAAUUAUUAGAAUAAAGGUGAGAGAAGCUUAUUUGUGCACAAACGACAAACACAAUGCAACAAUCAGGAUGCAUGCUCGUCCUAUUCGUUCACGAAUUUCGCCAAUAUAAUGUGGCAAUAGCGUUAUAUAUCGGUGGCAUAUCUACGUUCUCUCUCGGUAUAUUGCUAGUCGUCAGCUACACAUACGGGUUCGAAGUUAGUGUACCUGUAGAAAAUUUCCAUCACAGCCCAUUUCCCAAUGAUGCAAUUCACACAUGACAGUUUAUCACAGUUUAUACUCCAUAUAUUUCUAUAUGGUGGCCAGCUCCUCAUUAAGCGCCGAGCCACGCAUAGGCGCCGCUGCCACACUUUAACCACAGGGCAACCCAUUAUGGUAACUCACCUUCUUACCUGAUCGUAGGUGCGUCAUUGCAAGUACAUUACAUUUCUCAGUAGUCCCAUGUCGUAGUCCCAUGUCUGUAUGCCCAAACACAUCCAUGGGGUACUGAAUCCACAGAUAAGUAAUUACUCCACAUCGCAGCCUUCAUAUAUACAUAUGUGUAACAUGUAUAUAAUCAAGCGCUUUCUAUACUCUCCCCUAGACCGACGUUUGUUCGGUCAUGCUCUCACAUCUCACCUUACCUGAGCGUCGAGUCAUUCAAAACUGAAUGGCCUCAAAAAUAACAUUACACAUGUAUGCAAUAUUCCCCCCAGUUGUGGGUUAGUGUUUUGAACUAAGCCACCUGAUAGUCCUUAAUUUAGGGCUUAAUAGAGGAUGUCGCUAGCAUUAUAGUUUUUCAAAUCUAUUUUUCAAAACCAAACAAUGUGUUUAGUUGAAAAUAGAUUUUUGAAACCAAAACUUUGUUUUAAAAAUAUGUAUGUGAUUGUAUUAUACUUAAUUCAGCUCUGAUACCAGCUGAGGCAGAACCUCCCAAGUUAUUGGGCUCACAUGCACCUGUCCUUGUCCCAAGGACCACAAACGGCUAUGCAUGUGCACCAAACAACUUAACAGGAUCUGUCUGAGUGUCCCAAUGACCCCGGAUAAACCACUUACCGCAGAGAUCGCAGGAUUAAGUAAACACAACUCACACACAAACACUUGCAGCGGAAAUAAACUCUUUAUUGCAAAAUGAUUACAAGUUUAUCAAGAUUUUAUUAUACCUCAUCGGAGUGAUUACAAAAGAAAGUGUUUCAAAAGAAUUACACUUUAAAAUGUUAUAGAAUAUUUGUAAAUUUGAAAUACAUGCUAGCUUAAGUGACAAUCCUCAUUAAAGAAACUAUAGGAGGGAUAUACUUAUAUAAGAAGGCCGAGCCCACCGGCACUUAGCACCAUCCACAACAUAACAAAAUUACAACCUGAAAAACAACAGGGAAUAAAACCCUGAGUACGCAAUUACUCAGCAAGACUUACCUGACUAAAGAAAAGACUCUCAAGGGUAUGCUGGUUUGUCGGGAAUCAAGGUAAAGCUUAUCAAAUUUCAAAGACUCAUUUUUGCAGAAAAGCUUACUAGUAGUGGAUCCUUAUGCCAAAAUUUUACAUCAUAAGUUAAGUACUUUUCCUGAAUCUAGAUUUGCCUAAUCUAGAGCAUUCACUUGUCCUAUACUAACUUUCUUUUAAAUCAAAAGUUUGUUUCGCUUGUUAUCUACGAUGAAGGGCAGUGAUCUAGUCUUCACAUCCGAGAAGUAACGGCGAUCCGAAUCGAUUAAUACCCAGCUGGGGAUCUCCAACCACACGACAUAUGUAGCACUUAACCCUUGCAUAUGUCAACCAUUCCCACGGAUCCUCCACUACAUGAACAGGUCCGCGCUACCCGGGAGCACAUUACCCUACCAUCCAGCCUCUUGCCAGGAGGGUAACUGCUACUCCCACCAUCUCCCACGUCCAGUGCGCUGUUGUCUUUUCACGUAUGGAAUAGUCGGGUUCAGGCUUACCCAUGACGAUGUAUGUGGCCAGUUAAAAUGUCCUAGAUCAUCAGGCCAACAAUCGGUACGGUCCUUAAUCGACACAGACGGACGACCUUUCCUGCUCAACGUCUGAUCCCAUUUUAAACUAUUUCAAAAAUUUGGCGCCUGACAGAGGGGCCAUGCCUGGAUAAUGAAUUUAUCAACGUCUUGAUGCCUUCAUUAUCCCAAGCUCAUUUUCUUUUUUGUAAAAACAUGAGUCAUAUAUCAAAAAUAUGUUUCUUAAUAUAUCAGCAAGACUAAGCAUCUCUAGCUUUUAUAAAACGGGUGACAAGGUGUGGUAAUCAACCUUUCAAGGAUGGUAAUGCAUCAAAUGUUUAAUCACUCAACUCCUAUCACCUAAUGCAGCAUAUAAGUGAUAAAAUUUUGUAAACACAAGGAAGGUGACAAAUGCACCGGGGCUUGCCUGAGAUAACACUAUGUUAGUGUUGUUAGAUGAUGGCCACUUGACGAUCAACUUUUAUUCUGACACCCGCUUAGUCCAUCUAGCUUCAGGAUCAUCGGCCGACAUCGUCUUGUGGGUUGUUUUGAUCCACACCCCUCGCUUCGCACGAUUUUCAGCUAGCGUACCUAAUUAGAUGUACAAUGCACAUGUAUAAACAUAAGGAAGAAUAACACAACAUAUUACACACAAUAAAGAAUUAAGCACAAUGACGAGGCGCUGCAACACUUGUGAGAAAAUACUAGACGUCAACAAAUGACUAAGUACAACAAGGACGACCACGGGUUCUAACCCAAACAUCGAGAAACUUUAAACGAAUACAAGUCCUAUCGUACUUAGGUAGAGUAUAAUACAAAAGAUUCAUCCGAUUAAAUUCACUAUAACUGGCUUCUAGGACUAACAUAUGGAGAGAAGCAAACUAACACAUUUAACACAAUUAGCCUAAACAGACUUAUCAGCUAAUUAUUGAAAUGCUACAUUUAUCUCUCGCAUUAUUAUUUAUACCACACAUCGCUCAUGCAGAACUAAUUUAAUUUUACUUCAUAUUACUGAUUUCACCAUACUUACACAAAUCUAAAUAGUCGCAACUCAUUUACAUUCAUCAAAGUAUUUAUCUCCUCCUUAAUUCAAUCAAGUCUAAAGCAAACAUUUAGAAAGAAUGAACUGACCAUAUAUAACAAGGAAUUUGGAUAAACACUUCAUAUGCAACAAGUUUUCAUCAAUCAAGGAUUGACUAAUCCUUCCUAGGCAAACAAAAAUGACACCAAGAAAUCAGUUUAACACAUGCAGAUUUUCUAGACAGCAGCACAGCGGUUAACGGUUUUAUUCAUAAAACACAAAAUAUGCAUCCAAAAAUGGUAAACUAAGACUUUUUGGAAAGCCUAAGAAAUCCUCUACAACUUUGGUAUUAUAAUCACCAUGAGAUAAGACACUUAGAAAGGUCAAUCAGAAUUAUACGAUAAUGUUGUCUAGAUUUGGACAUAAUUCGACUACUCACUUCAAAAAUCCAUAAUCAGAGAUGUAGACAUCCAAAACAUGUGAUCCUAAACUUUUUAGAAAGCUAAUAAAAUUGUCUACAACUCAUUUAUAAUCAUCUCAAGGUGAUUCAAUGUGUAUCGAAGUCAGUUAAUUCAAACACACAUUGCUGUUCACACUUCUGACAGAUUCAAACAGCCAUAACUUGACUUCUAGACCACCAGAAAGGGUGCUCCAAAAAUUGUUGGAAAGCUUAAGAAAAGUACUACAAUUCUUCUAUAAUUACUAAGGGCUAAUUCUCAGUUUAAUUUAGUCAAACAAGGAAAUUUUCGAAAUCAGUACAGAAUCUGGAUAGAUUCGUAUACUGUACUUGAAAAAAUCAUAACUCCUAAACUACUAAACCUAUGGUCAUGAAAUUUUUACGCAAGCAAGAUAAAGGAGUUAUCUAUAACUUUUCUAUAUAACACUUCUACAGAAAAUAUGAUUUAAUUCACUCAAUUAUUACCCCACAACAGAGAGGAUGUGUGCAGCAAAAUUCAACUCAGAGACAAUCAGGUUCCCUAAGCGAGAUUAUGACAAACCAAAUACGACAUAUCUACUUAUUAACACAAUAACCACAUCACAGGCAAGGAGACACUUCAACAUCACCUAAUCUACCCAUAAUUAUCACAAUUAAAAUACAAACAAGGAGAUUCUUCCCUGCACGCUGAGGGGCAGCACACAGGCACGUCAAAAGACCUAGAAAUCAAUACCUCGCACCCCUCCUACAUAAAAGAAACCAUCGUGACUAAUAUAGCUAUUAAUCUAUUCAUCAAUUAAAUUAGUCGUAAAAAAACAAUGUGUCAUACCACUACUAAGUUGACUCGGAUGAAAGCAAAAACAGCGACGAUCUAAUGUUUAGACCUUUCGUCGAGCAUAUGGUGAGCGUCGCACUGGCCUCGCUUCUUCUCCAUCAAAAAAAAACUAAAUGUCUUCACAUAUCGUGAUCAAUACAUCUAUUUAAUCCAUCGACCUAAUCAAUUAACAAAAAUAGCGAACUAGAGAACGAUUACCGAACCAACUAUAACUCCAAGCAAACGUUGACGAUUUUGGUUCAUGCCAUUCACCGAACAUCUAGCGAGCAGCGUGUUGGGGCUUUCUCCUCCAUACACUCCUAGGAUUCCUUUAUCCCAAACCCACGCACAUAUACACAUAUAUCAGCAAGGUACUAGCAAGAUUGUGGGUACUAAGAACUAACAAGACAACACAAGAGAUCUGGGGAUUACUACAGCAAACAAAAAUAACAGUGAGAGUGGGCAGUGAGGUUGAAGACCUGCACGGCGAACGUGUCUGGUGUGAGCACACGAGCCGAAACUGGAAGACGAAGGCGGGGUAAAUCAGUGGAGCGGUUCGAGCUAGAAGAUGUUGUGCUGGCGAUGCUUCACCGACGAGGAGACUUGGAGCAGGGCGCACGGUUCUAGUGUGUGCACGGCUGGAGGCGAGGUCGAAGUCGAGGACGCACAGCCCGACGAGGAACAGGGAGGGGCG